UGGUGACAGAGAGGUGGAGAGGUGAGAUUUAUCUCAGAAAUGGGCUGCAGAGCCGCAACGGUGCUCCUCGCGUUCCUUGCACAAGGCAUGAAUGCGUUUAUUUAAAACAGGCCUGACAGAUGUCAUAUGCCUAUAUGUGGCCACGUCUUCACACAUCAUGGAUGGAUGGAACGCUUGAUGUACGGAGCAGCUUUUAUCCUUCUGAAAGUGCAUACAGAGGUCGACUGAUCCAGGGAUAGCAGAAUAAAGGCUGCCUAAAUUCAUCCAUCCCAGUGCCAGCAGCAAGACAGAGGCGACGCUGAGAGAUUCAGCACCCAAAGCGGCUUUCCCUGAACAUAAUACAAAACAAUGUGGACUCACAGGUGGAUGCGGUUUUCCAGUCCUCAGGAUCCAGGGCGUAAAAGUCUCGUGUUUGUACAACCUGUUGGAUAAAAGGACUACCGUGGUCUGAUCCCAGACUCCAUCGUAGUUUUACUGACGUGUCUCCAAUCUCUUCCACACGGACACCACCUGGAGGACCAGGCAGACCUGAAGCGCAAACAGUCGGCAAUGUCAUGAUGGUUAUAUUUGCGUCAAGUCUAUUUGAUUUAUGCAGUGAAACAAUGGGAAGGGUUAGUUGAUGAAUAAACUACAAACAUCAAUGCAUUGUUUUUAAUACAGCUUUGUACAAGUCUACAUAUCAGAGGCAUUAUUUUAAUAAGCUACUGUAGGACACACAGAGUUCAAAUCACCAACCUUUGACAAAAACAUCAGCUUCUGCGGUGGCAUUGUCCACUAUGGUCUGAGCUGUGCAGGAAUAGUGUCCUGCGUGCCUCACCUGGAUGUUCUUGAUCAGCAGGUCUCCGCUGUUCUCGUCACCCUGCAAAAACACACACACAAACAGUGAAACUGCUUGUCUUCCUGAGAACAGAAUGCCUGAGAUUCCUGUCUCUACUCACCAUGAGCAGCUCGUAGUGUUCAAAGUCUGUGUAGAAGUUGAUGACGUAGGAAUCAACAGUCCAGAUAAAGGUGAUGUCCAGGCUGGGAUCAAAUGAUGCAGAACACUGGAGAAUUGUAGUGUCACCUACAACUGCCUCAGUGUCUGAUGGAGCCUCUGUGAUUUUGGUGGCCUCUGAGAAAAUGAAAGGGACACAAAUGCAUACACCUCAUAUUACCUCAUAUUAACUAUUUAGAAAAAUGAAAAAGACCAGUCACAAAACCUAUGAUAAACACACAUACACACAUAAAUUCAUAUCAAUUUUAACCUUAUUAUGCUGAUUUAAAAAAGUAAAUAAUUAUGAAACUACCCAUAUGCACUAUUUAGUUCAUUAAUAAUUU
ensembl:lncRNA